UUUANACUUCUUUUGCAUACUUUAUCAGUGAUUUCUUUAGUCUCGUAAUGAUUAUUCCAAUCCAUUUCUGAUUAUUUUGAACUUUUUAUUUUUGAAGUCUGUUGCGAUUACAAGUGAUUAUCAAGUUUUGUUGCAGGUAUGUGGAAUGUUUCUCAAGGUUCAUGAUAUGAUUACUUAGUUACUGAUUAUUUUCAUAUUUGCUGAAAUUGACUUGUUAAUUUACCUGUUAUACAUGUUAUGGUGCACAAUGUAGCAGCCUGUCAAGGAAAAAUUUUAUGUGCUAGAUUAAAAAAUAAUGGGCAGCCUGGUGCGCUAAGCUUCCGUUAUGCGGGUCGGGGUUCGGGGAAAGGAUGGACUACAAGGGUCUAUUGUAAGCAACCUUACCAUGCAUAGCUACAAGAGGGUGUUUCCACAGCUCGAACCCAUGACCUUUUGGUCACAUAGCAACAACUUUACCAAGGCCCCCCUUCUUUUACGUGCUAGAUUGAGGUAGUUUAUUUCUUGGGCAACACGUUAAGGUGAUAGUAUGCUCUCAUAUCUCAGAAUAGUCAAUGCUAUAGCUGGCUUCCCUUUCUUAUUAAAUAUAUGUAUAUGUAAAAAUUUGGAUGAUCUUGUGUGUAAUUAGCUAUUUACAGCCGAAUAAACUUGAUCUACUGCACAAUUUUAGAGUUUCUGUAGACAUUUGGAGCAGAUUUCAUUGUCACUUUAGAACAUAGGUAUGCUUGUUCUAAUUAUGAAAACAAGAUGUGUAGAUGAAAAUUUGUGACAGAGACAUGAAUGCAUCUACGUUAGGCAUCAAUUGCAUAUCAGAAUUCCAACGAUAUUGCCUCAGCAGAUCUGAUGCAAUGCUUUAGCUCUAGCACUUUCUUAACUUUCUCUGUCUCCGGCUCUUUGGGGCGUAUUUGCCUAUAUGGCAUACUGCUGUUAUGGAACAUUUGUUAAUCUAGAGACACAAUGUUGAUAGUUCUGAGCUACUAGCCUUCUCCACAAGUGAUUCCACCAAGAAAUCCUUUCUUUCCUUUUGGAUUAGAGGUUAAGGUUGUCAGCACUAGUCCUUUAUCAUUUUUCAUCUGUCUUAUCAGUGGAAGGCAUGGUUUUCCUUAUUCUACUAUCUUUUGCUCCAGCUCUUUUCCUUUAUUAGGUUUUGUGCAUUACUUGAGUGCAGAAAUGAAUCUAAUUUCACAUGCUGGAGGUGUAAAUUGCCCAGUGAUAUUUUCAGAUUCAACAAUAUGCCAUGAAGGAAAAUCCUAUAUCCAGAAAGGAGAUGAUCCACGAAAGAAUCUCACCCUGCUUCGCGAGGGGGCGGCCCAAAUAUAUGCCGGCAGCUGCUUUUCAAACCAGUCUGUUCCUCCAUUCAGAAGCAGUUGCUACUGAAAAUGAUAUGGAACUAAGCAAGGGUGACAGCGAUGCUGCCUCUUCAUUCCUCCUUUGGUGCACGUAAUUGGCUACAUUUGAUUUGACUGGUAAAAAUCUAUUCAAGAAGCCGCUUGCACUUAUCUUCCUAGAGUUGGAAUUCAUGAUGAUUUCCAAUUUUUCGUGUGCUAAUGUCCACGCCAUCUUCAUGAAUUCGGGCGAUGGUCUCUGAAUCGCCGAAAAUUUUGUGGACUAAUCAGAAACAACCUAAUGAACAAUAGUCAUUGCUUCGCCAUGACCAUUAUUUUUUGGCGCUUUUAGGGUCAUAAAACAAAGAUUCAGGACAAUUUCUAAUUUUUUAUUUGCUAAUGCC